GGAGGAACUCGGAGUCUCCCUCCAGUUUCAGGCCUUUCUCCGUUAUUCUCAGGUUGCCCAUGCCGUCCUGCAGAGACCAAACACACCAGACAGAAGAAACGAAGUCCAACAGCAGAAAUGAGAGCGUUUGAGGGCGGAGCUUCAGCCCAGGACAGGUGAUGGACUUCUAUGAAGAUGUUGUGCAUCAUGACAGAACGUCUUCAGUGUGAACGUAUGAGCCUCUGGAGAACUCCAGACACACCUGUACUAAAGGUGCAGCCACUCCUCUACGACCCCACAGACCCCGACGACCUAAAGUGGAGGCUAACAACAGCCGCUAGCUUCAGCU